rnacentral:rRNA from 1 species
AUUGAACGCUGGCGGCAGGCCUAACACAUGCAAGUCGAACGAGUGGCGGACGGGUGAGUAAUGUCUGGGAAACUGCCUGAUGGAGGGGGAUAACUACUGGAAACGGUAGCUAAUACCGCAUACCAUCGGAUGUGCCCAGAUGGGAUUAGCUAGUAGGUGGGGAAAAGGCUCACCUAGGCGACGAUCCCUAGCUGGUCUGAGAGGAUGACCGGCAACACUGGAACGGGGAACCGGCCCAGACUCCUACGGGAGGCAGAAGGGGGGAAUAUUGCACAAGGGGGGAAGGCCGGAUGCAGCAAUGCCGCGUGGAUGAAGAAGGCCUUCGGGUUGUAAAGUACUUUCAGCGGGGAGGCGUUACCCGCAGAAGAAGCACCGGCUAACUCCGUGCCAGCAGCCGCGGUAAUAC